GGGCGCCGGUACGCAAGUACGACGGUACGCUCC
rnacentral:misc_RNA from 1 species